GGGCGGACCGAUUAAUAAACCAUUCUCCUCUCAAACUGCUUGGUGUGGGUAAAGUUUACGCCGUCAAGGGACCGGAUGAUUCACUCUAUCAAGCGAGGGAAAUUGCUAAUUCAAAACUUGUCAGUCACUUAUUGGCCAAUCAGAAUGCGGGUCUUAUAGUAGUGUUGGCUCACUCCAGUGGUGCUUUUGUGGCCAAUGAAUUCUUUAAUGAGUUAUACAGAUCUGGAUCACCGACCAAAACAGAUAAAAAGAUCGUCUAUUACAAUUUAGACGGAGCUGGUGGAUUAAGCAGUACAGCUAAAUCUAAACUAAACAAAGAAUACUUUGUAUAUGCUCGUGAUGGAUCUCUUUUAUCAAGGAAUGCAGGAACGAUGAAAUCACUUGCCACGGGAGACCAACUAGUCGAAUUGGAUGGUUCACACUCCCAAUGUCGUCACUAUAACUGUCUACAUGACGUCAUGAUUAUUCGUCAUCCAUGGGAUCCAAUGAAAUUCGAUCUUUCAAGAGAUUAUGGCUUGUUUUCUGUUGGGGAUCGAGAAGUACAAUAUGACUACAUCACCAAAACUCAGUCCCGAUUAUCAGGACUAUCCCGCGGAUGAAUAGACA